rnacentral:rRNA from 1 species
CCCUUAGAUGUUCUGGGCUGCACGCGCGCUACACUGAUGCAUCCAGCGAGUUGUAACCUUGCUUGGUAAAGUUUGGUAAUCUGAGCCUAAUGUGCAUCGUGAUGGGAAUAGAGUUUUGCAACUAUUAGUCUUGAACGAGGAAUUCCUCGUAAGCACGAGUCAUCAGCUUGUGCUGAUUACGUCCCUGCCCUUUGUACACACCGCCCGUCGCUCCUACCGAUUGGGUGCUCCGGUGAAAUCUCGGGACGGCGGCUUGGUCGCUUGCGUCCGACUGCUGAAACUUGAUUAAACCAUAUCAUUUAGAGGAAGGUGAAGUCGUAACA